UGAGGUUUCAGAGCUACGUCCUUCUCCAGCGCCUCGAAAGUGACGAAGCUGGACAUCGCGAAACCGUCGAUAAUGUCCUCUUCGGCCGAGGACGACUCCCGCCGCUUCCUCCGGGGGGGCCGCGGCCGGGACGGCGGCGGGGGCCCAUUGUCUUCCUUCUCGGAGCCCGAGGAGGAGAGCGCCGGGGCGGCCCCGGGGCCGGGAGCCCCUCCGGCGGCAGCGCCGCGCCGCCCGCCCUGGGCUCGCCGCUCCCGGUCGCGCUGGGACCGCGAUCGCCGCUUCUUCCGAAGCCCGUUGCAUCGCGCCGGGCCAUCCAUGUCUCUCGGCGGCUCUCCCUCUCGCUCUCGUCCCCCCCCGCCCCACCGCGGGCACAAAUCCGGCUCUCCCCCGGCGGAAUAACGGGGGAGGGAGGGAGGGAGCGAGGGAAGGAGGGAGGAGAGGGCGGAAAGGGGGUGGGGGGGGAUGAAAGAAUCCGAGCGCGGUUCCACCACCACCAGCGGCAAAGCACCAAAUGUAAGAGAUUCCUACGAGCGAGCCAAGGAAAGUAAUGGCUGAUCUCAGGUCGCC
rnacentral:lncRNA from 1 species